rnacentral:rRNA from 1 species
GACAGAGGUGCCAAGCGUUAGGCGGAAUCACUGGGCUUAAAGCGUGUGUAGGCGGACUUCUAAGUACCUUGUGAAAUCCCACGGCUUAACCGUGGAACUGCUCGGUAUACUGGUUGUCUUGAGCCACUUAGGGGCUACCGGAACAAAUGGUGGAGCGGUGAAAUGCGUAGAUAUCAUUUGGAACGCCAAUGGUGAAGGCGGGUCUCUGGACAGUUCCUGACGCUGAGGCACGAAGGCCAGGGGAGCAAACGGG